AAUGUAUCAACAUGUUUACUCAACUGUGCAUUUUGUUACUUGUAAUUGGUUCAUUAGUGUUGAUUUCUUUGAAAUCAGGAGGGGAGUGUUCCGGAUAUUGAUCCGGUUUCUUCUCGACUCUUAGUAUGAUAGCGUCUACCGCCAUUUCGUCAUGUAUGUUUUAUUUACCACUUUUCCUCAGAUUUUUGGUGCUUAUAAACCACAGAUUUUGUACCCUCUCAGGAGGUUUGAUCAGUAUUAAAGAUUCAAUCCAGUU